AUUGAACGCUGGCGGCGUGCCUAACACAUGCAAGUCGAGCGGUAACAGGUGUAGCAAUACAUGCUGACGAGCGGCGGACGGGUGAGUAACGCUUGGGAAUCUGCCUAUUAGUGGGGGACAACCCGGGGAAACUCGGGCUAAUACCGCAUACGCACUACGGUGGAAAGCCGGGGACCGCAAGGCCUGGCGCUAACAGAUGAGCCCAAGUCGGAUUAGCUAGUUGGUAGGGUAACGGCCUACCAAGGCGACGAUCCGUAACUGGUCUGAGAGGACGACCAGUCACACCGGAACUGAGACACGGUCCGGACUCCUACGGGAGGCAGCAGUGGGGAAUAUUGGACAAUGGGCGAAAGCCUGAUCCAGCGACGCCGCGUGGGUGAAGAAGGCCUGCGGGUUGUAAAGCCCUUUCAGUGGGGAAGAAAAGCCUCGAGCUAACACCUCGGGGUCUUGGCGUAACCCAUAGAAGAAGCACCGGCUAACUCUGUGCCAGCCGCCGCAGUAAU
rnacentral:rRNA from 1 species